ensembl:snoRNA
CUUUAUCAAUUUCAGAAAUCUCAUGCCUCAGGUUUCCACUACAGAUGCAAGAAGAAGGCAUCCUCGCGCUUUCUGUCUGUCUGAAUGUGGCAGCCCAGAUUGAAUGGAGGAAUACAGAG